rnacentral:rRNA from 1 species
CCGGCACGGGUGAGUAACACGUGUCCAACCUGCCGUCUACUCUUGGACAGCCUUCUGAAAGGAAGAUUAAUACAAGAUGGCAUCAUGAGUCCGCAUGUUCACAUGAUUAAAGGUAUUCCGGUAGACGAUGGGGAUGCGUCCCAUUAGAUAGUAGGCGGGGUAACGGCCCACCUAGUCUUCGAUGGAUAGGGGUUCUGAGAGGAAGGUCCCCCACAUUGGAACUGAGACACGGUCCAA